rnacentral:rRNA from 1 species
AUUGCCCUAGUAACGGCGAGUGAAGCGGCAACAGCUCAAAUUUGAAAUCUGGCUUCGGCCCGAGUUGUAAUUUGUAGAGGAAGCUUUUGGUGAGGCACCUUCUGAGUCCCCUGGAACGGGGCGCCAUAGAGGGUGAGAGCCCCGUAUAGUCGGAUGCCGAUCCAAUGUAAAGCUCCUUCGACGAGUCGAGUAGUUUGGGAAUGCUGCUCAAAAUGGGAGGUAAAUUUCUUCUAAAGCUAAAUACCGGCCAGAGACCGAUAGCGCACAAGUAGAGUGAUCGAAAGAUGAAAAGCACUUUGAAAAGAGGGUUAAAUAGCACGUGAAAUUGUUGAAAGGGAAGCGUUUGUGACCAGACUUGCGCCGUUCCGAUCAUCCGGUGUUCUCACCGGUGCACUCGGGACGGCACAGGCCAGCAUCGGUUUUGGCGGGGGGACAAAGGCCCUGGGAACGUAGCUCCUCCGGGAGUGUUAUAGCCCAGGGCGUAAUGCCCUCGCCGGGACCGAGGUUCGCGCAUCUGCAAGGAUGCUGGCGUAAUGGUCACCAACGACCCGUCUUGAAACACGGACCAAGGAGUCAAGGUUUUGCGCGAGUGUUUGGGUGUAAAACCCGCACGCGUAAUGAAAGUGAACGUAGGUGAGAGCUUCGGCGCAUCAUCGACCGAUCCUGAUGUAUUCGGAUGGAUUUGAGUAAGAGCGUUAAGCCUUGGACCCGAAAGAUGGUGAACUAUGCUUGGAUAGGGUGAAGCCAGAGGAAACUCUGGUGGAGGCUCGCAGCGGUUCUGACGUGCAAAUCGAUCGUCAAAUCUGAGCAUGGGGGCGAAAGACUAAUCGA